rnacentral:lncRNA from 1 species
GGAUGAUGCUAUUGGAGGUCAGUACAGUAGGGUGUCAGGAUACAGAGUACUGUAGGAAUUAGCUGGCAGGGCUGGGCAGGGGUUUUGUACCUUGUGCUUUUUUGGACGACUGGUAGAGGGUGGAACCAGGAAGGUGAGAGCUUUUUUGGACGACUGGUAGAGGGUGGAACCAGGAAGGUGAGAAACCUAGCUGUUAUUGCUUUUGCCAUGAGAUUUUACCAACACAAAACACAAUUUUUAGGAGCUCAGGAGUUCUUUUCGAGCUCGGCAAACAGAUGGGCAAAAUUGCAGAGUAACAACUGAGACAUUCUGCCAUCCAAGUUUCAUGAUAAAUGGGUAUUUCAACGCAAAUGGAUCUUUACAUUAGAAUUGCAAGCACAUAGGAGGAGGGGUAGGAGAUAAC